UACGGAGGGGACUAGCGUUGUUCGGCCUUACUGGGCGUAAAGCGCGCGUCGGCGGAUUUGUAAGUCGGGGGUGAAAUCCCGGGGCUCAACCUCGGAGCUGCCUUCGAUGCUGCAAAUCUCGAGUCCGGAAGAGGUGAGUGGAAUUCCUAGUGUAGAGGUGAAAUUCGUAGAGAUUAGGAAGAACACCAGUGGCGAAGGCGGCUCACUGGUCCGGUACUGACGCUGAGGCGCGAAAGCGUGGGGAGCAAACAGG
rnacentral:rRNA from 1 species